ACGUAACCUACCUUGACUUUGGGAUAACUUCAGGAAACUGGGGCUAAUACCGGAUAGGAGCUCCUGCUGCAUGGUGGGGGUUGGAAAGUUUCGGCGGUUGGGGAUGGACUCGCGGCUUAUCAGCUUGUUGGUGGGGUAGUGGCUUACCAAGGCUUUGACGGGUAGCCGGCCUGAGAGGGUGACCGGCCACAUUGGGACUGAGAUACGGCCCAG
rnacentral:rRNA from 1 species